GAAAUGCGAUAAGUAAUGUGAAUUGCAGAAUUCAGUGAAUCAUCGAAUCUUUGAACGCACCUUGCGCUCCUUGGUAUUCCUUGGAGCAUGCCUGUUUGAGUAUCAUGAAAUCUUCAAAGUAAAUCUUUUGUUAACUCAAUUGGUUUCUACUUUGGUAUUGGAGGUCUUUGCAGCUUCACACCUGCUCCUCUUUGUUCAUUAGCUGGAUCUCAGUGUUAUGCUUGGUUCCACUCGGCGUGAUAAGUUAUCUAUCGCUGAGGACACUGUAAAUGGUGGCCAAGGUAAAUGCAGAUGAACCGCUUCUAAUAGUCCAUUGACUUGGACAAUACUUUUAUGAUCUGAUCUCAAAUCAGGUAGGACUACCCGCUGAACUUAAGC
rnacentral:misc_RNA from 1 species